AGUGAACGCUGGCGGUAGGCCUAACACAUGCAAGUCGAACGGCAGCACAGGAGAGCUUGCUCUCUGGGUGGCGAGUGGCGGACGGGUGAGGAAUACAUCGGAAUCUACUCUUUCGUGGGGGACAACGUAGGGAAACUUACGCUAAUACCGCAUACGACCUACGGGUGAAAGCAGGGGAUCUUCGGACCUUGCGCGAUUGAAUGAGCCGAUGUCGGAUUAGCUAGUUGGCGGGGUAAAGGCCCACCAAGGCGACGAUCCGUAGCGGGUCUGAGAGGAUGAUCAGCCACACUGGAACUGAGACACGGUCCAGACUCCUACGGGAGGCAGCAGUGGGGAAUAUUGGACAAUGGGCGCAAGCCUGAUCCAGCCAUACCGCGUGGGUGAAGAAGGCCUUCGGGUUGUAAAGCCCUUUUGUUGGGAAAGAAAUCCAGCUGGUUAAUACCCGGUUGGGAUGACGGUACCAAAAGAAUAAGCACCGGCUAACUACGUGCCAGCCGCCGCCGUAA
rnacentral:rRNA from 1 species